UACGAAGGGGGCUAGCGUUGUUCGGAAUUACUGGGCGUAAAGCGUGCGCAGGCGGUGAUGUAAGUCAGUUGUGAAAUCCCCGGGCUCAACCUGGGAACUGCAUCUGUGACUGCAUCGCUGGAGUGCGGCAGAGGGGGAUGGAAUUCCGCGUGUAGCAGUGAAAUGCGUAGAUAUGCGGAGGAACACCGAUGGCGAAGGCAAUCCCCUGGGCCUGCACUGACGCUCAUGCACGAAAGCGUGGGGAGCAAACAGG
rnacentral:rRNA from 1 species